rnacentral:tRNA from 1 species
GGGCACAUGGUGUAGUUGGUUAUCACGCCCGCUUAGCAUUUGUAAAGUGGUCUGCAGGCGGUCCCCAGUUCAAUUCCGGGUGUGUCCA